UUGCUACUUGGAUAACCGUAGUAAUUCUAGAGCUAAUACAUGCAGGAAUUCCCGACUUCGGAAGGGAUGUAUUUAUUAGAUAAGAAACCAAACCGGUCUCCGGUUGUGUGCUGAGUCAUAAUAACUGCUCGAAUCGCACAGCUCUACGCUGGCGAUGGUUCAUUCAAAUUUCUGCCCUAUCAGCUUUCGAUGGUAGGAUAGAGGCCUACCAUGGCGUUAACGGGUAACGGAGAAUUAGGGUUCGAUUCCGGAGAGGGAGCCUGAGAAAUGGCUACCACAUCCAAGGAAGGCAGCAGGCGCGUAAAUUGCCCGAAUCCUGACACAGGGAGGUAGUGACAAGAAAUAACAAUACAGGGCUCUCUGAGUCUUGUAAUUGGAAUGAGUACAAUUUACAUCUCUUCACGAGGAUCAAUUGGAGGGCAAGUCUGGUGCCAGCAGCCGCGGUAAUUCCAGCUCCAAUAGCGUAUAUUAAAGUUGUUGCAGUUAAAACGCUCGUAUUCGGAUUUCGGGGCGGGGCCGCCGGUCUGCCGAUAGGUAUGCACUGUCGGGCGCGUCCUUUUUCCCGGAGACGGCUGCUACUCU
rnacentral:rRNA from 1 species